AUCAGCUCCAGCUGCUCUCAGGAUCAUAUAAAAGCAGCUCCUGCAGGUUGGAGUUAUUGUCAGUGUGAUCAGAGCUAGGUACAGUCUGGUAAUACUCCAUUUAUCCUGUGCAGCAGCUGUAACAGAAUGAGGAUGUUGUGGCUUUCUCUCAUGCUGAUUGGAAGCGUCAGCUGUGCAGCAACAAGGUGGAAGUGGACUGCCCAUGUGGUGGUAUACGGCUGCAUCAUCUGAACAGGAUGUUUCUGGGCCAGCCAAUCAGAACCCCAGUGGACAAGUUGGUUCCGUCAGUUACAACAGCUCGGAGUUUACUACUGCAGCAGUACUGGAGGUGCUGACAGGAGUCCUACUUAUGGGGUCCAGCACGGCGGCCAUCAGCACAGCCAGCAUGCAGCUCCAGGAGAUGGCAGCUCUCGGUUUGCAGAGGAGAGCUGGAGCUCUUCAUCUGAUACCAGCGGUGAAGAUGAGCCAGUCUUCUCCCCUGUAGAUGAAUGCCUAGACCAUCCUGCAUGGUUUAGAGGCCCAGGAUUUUUUUUUUUUUUUUUUUGUGCUUUCAAAGUUUAAUGUCGAUGCAAACCUCGAAUCUUGUGCUGCUUCUGACUCCAUCCAGAUGACGGCACUAAUGUCAAAGUGGACAUGAAGCCUUAUGACUAAAGUAUUCAAGCUGGAAUUUGAACCUCUGAGAAAAAACCUGUGCUGAAAUCUUCAAUUUCCUUAAUGGGUAAAAUGGACCUCCAUUUUUAAAGUUGGGACAAGACCCACAACUGAAAUGACUUGUAAUACUCCAGUUUCUCAAUUGGCCCAUUAAAACUUUAGUUUGAUAUUUCUGCACAGCUCUCUGAGGGUACCACCACUAGCCCAUUCCAAAACCAAAAUGCUUCUAUAAUUGACAGUUUUGUCAAGCCUGCAGGAUGGACUCACAUUUGGCUCAAAACUUUGUGUAUAUCGGUUUGUUGCUCAGUAAGGCACCAUGUGACUGAAACUAUCAUGCUUGUUUCUUCAGUGUAUAUGGAAGGCAAUUGGACUUUAACAUUUCACCAUCUCAAAAGGCUUAAUUAGUUCUGAACAUGGUUUGGAAGAAACAUCACACCAACAGGAUGGAGUCACAGAACCUACCCUCAAUUCUCUUGUCCAAUCCAAAGAACAUUAUUCCAGAAGUCUUGUUGUUCAUCGAGAUGCAGCUUUGCAAAGCUAAGGGUUUCUGCUAUAUUGUUUGUAUAGAAAACAAGCUCUCAAAAAAUUCCAAACUUCUUUUUUUUUUUUGUCUUUUUCUAUCUUGAACUUCAACAUGCUUAGGCCAAAGCUCUUUGACAUUUCUGAGCAUUGUAUGCUCUGGCCUUGGGGUGAAUUUUGCUUGGAUGUCCAAUCCUGUGAAGAUUAGCAGCUGUAAAAUGAAAUAAUUCAUUUGAAAAUGGCCCUCCAAGGUCAGCAACAGCUUCACUAAGAUAUAUUAAAAAGUUGUGGGUAACAAUGAAAUUGUUAAAGAUAAACUCUGCUUUAGUCUCCUCUCGAUUUAGAUGCAACUUUGCAAGUGAUGCUGUUUCUUUAUAGAGAGAAAACCCUUUCUCCUGGUAACCCAACUCGAGAUGCAAGCAAGCUUUGCAAAUGUUUUCAGAGGACAAUAACAAAUGAAUCAGCUGUUCACAUAAAUGUCCAUCAGAGCUUUAACAUUUUGAGAUUUUUCACUUUAAAGUUACUGCAGAUUUUUAUUUGAGCUAGGAAAAAUAAAUCUGAUUAGCCUUUUUUGUGAUUCCUUGUAAAUGCUGAGUUAAAUUUACUCUUGUAAAUAUUGCCUAACAUUAAAAUUAGUUUGAGACAUGCAAGUGUGACAAAAGGGUUAGGGUUAGGGUUACCUGUAAAAGGGCAUAUACAUUUUCACUGUAAAUACACUGAAUGGAAAUGAACUGCAGCUUCCCCAUACAGGUUAAAAAAUAUCUUAACAUCAAUGCAUUUGUUUUAAAUUUGGAUCACUCGUUAUUUGUUUACAUUUUUCUACCAGGAUUUAUUGUAUUUGCUUUUAAUAUAAUUUUUUUGAACUAUGUCCCUUUAUUUUCUUGUAACGGACUUCGAGUUACCCUAUAAAUGACGCUGUACAGUUGAACUCCUGUAUAGGAUAGUGCUAGUUUAACUGAAGACAGAUGAAAUGAGUCUGUAAUUGUCAGUAACCCGCACUUCCUCUCACCUCUACCUGCUGAACCCUACAUCUAAAGCAAACAGAAACGUAACUCACCUUGUCACCUUACCGCAUUUCUCUGCCAUUUGCCGAGCUACCCAAUCACUAUGGAGGACCGAUCCUGACAAAAUUAAAAAUAAAAGCAGAAAUAUAUA